rnacentral:rRNA from 1 species
CCUACGGGGGGCAGCAGUGAGGAAUAUUGGUCAAUGGGCGAGAGCCUGAACCAGCCAAGUCGCGUGAAGGAUGAAGGAUCUAUGGUUUGUAAACUUCUUUUAUAUGGGCAUAAAGUGAGGAACGUGUUCCUUUUUGUAUGUACCAUAUGAAUAAGCAUCGGCUAACUCCGUGCCAGCAGCCGCGGUAAUACGGAGGAUGCGAGCGUUAUCCGGAUUUAUUGGGUUUAAAGGGUGCGUAGGUGGUUAAUUAAGUCAGCGGUGAAAGUUUGUGGCUCAACCAUAAAAUUGCCGUUGAAACUGGUUGUCUUGAGUAUAUUUGAGGUAGGCGGAAUGCGUGGUGUAGCGGUGAAAUGCAUAGAUAUCACGCAGAACUCCGAUUGCGAAGGCAGCUUACUAAACUAUAACUGACACUGAAGCACGAAAGCGUGGGGAUCAAACAGGAUUAGAUACCCCAGUAGUC